CAUGUCUUUUUGAGAAUAAUUUAAAGUCUAAUCUGCUCAAUGAAGAUUAAAUUGCCGCAGUAUUUUGACUGUGCAAAGGUAGCAUAAUAAUUAGCUUCUUAAUUAGAAGCUGGAAUGAAUGAUUGGACAAGAAAAUUUCUGUCUCUAUUUAAAUGUUUAUUGAAUUUUAUUUUUAAGUUAAAAAGCUUAAAUUUAUAUAAAAGACGAGAAGACCCUAUAGAGUUUAAUAUUUUUUAUUUAUUUGAUUAUAGAAUUUUUUUUGAAUUUUAAAUAUUUAAUUGGGGUGAUUUAAAGAUUUGAAUAAUUCUUUAAUUUUUUUAUUGAUGAUAAUUAAGUUUUAAAUCUAUAUUUUUAAAUUUAAUAUAAAUUACCUUAGGGAUAACAGCGUAAUUUUUCUUUAAAGCUCUUAUUAAAAGAAGAUUUUGCGACCUCGAUGUUGGAUUAAAAUUAAUUUUUGGUGCAGUAACUUAAAAAUUAGGUCUGUUCGACCUUUAAAAUUUUACAUGAUCUGAGUUUAAACCGGUGUAAGCCAGGUUGGAUUCUAUCUUUAGAUUUUUUACAUAUUUUAGUACGAAAGGACCAAAUAUUUAUUAUAAUAAUUG
rnacentral:rRNA from 6 species